rnacentral:rRNA from 1 species
GACGGGGGGGCAAGUGUUCUUCGGAAUGACUGGGCGUAAAGGGCACGUAGGCGGCGAAUCGGGUUGAAAGUGAAAGUCGCCAAAAAGUGGCGGAAUGCUCUCGAAACCAAUUCACUUGAGUGAGACAGAGGAGAGUGGAAUUUCGUGUGUAGGGGUGAAAUCGUAGAUCUACGAAGGAAUGCCAAAAGCGAAGGCAGCUCUCUGGGUCCCUACCGACGCUGGGGUGCGAAAGCAUGGGGGAGCGA